CAGUCGCCACGGGAAUACGAAGGGUGCAAGCGUUACUCGGAAUUACUGGGCGUAAAGCGUGCGUAGGUGGUGGUUUAAGUCCGUUGUGAAAGCCCUGGGCUCAACCUGGGAAUUGCAGUGGAUACUGGGUCACUAGAGUGUGGUAGAGGAUAGUGGAAUUUCCGGUGUAGCAGUGAAAUGCGUAGAGAUCGGAAGGAACAUCUGUGGCGAAGGCGACUAUCUGGGCCAACACUGACACUGAGGCACGAAAGCGUGGGGAGCAAACAGGAUUAGAUACCCCCGUAGUCCCUGUCUCUUAUAU
rnacentral:rRNA from 1 species